UUUAAAACAAGAGUAGUUAUUGACCAUUUAAGCAUCGAUUUGGACAAACCAUUCAGGUUUUCUUUCUGUUCAUACUAAGAAUUUGCUGUGUAUUUCAUUGUGUCUCAUCAAAAUCUUCAUUAUCACUUUUGAGCAGUGAUUGAUUCCUGCUUAUUAAGGGAGAAAUGAAGAAAUUUGAAUUUACCUUGAGAAAUUUGUAGCCAUGAAAACAUCUCAUAGAGCCUUUAUUUUCCUUCUUCAUGUUCUGCUUUUCUCCUUACAUCCACUGAAGAUAACGUCGUCUGCAAGAACAGAAGCAGCGGCUCUUGUGAAAUGGAAGAACAGCUUGUCUUCUCCUCCUCUGAAUUCAUGGUCCCUUGGAAAUCUUCGAAAUCUUUGCAGAUGGACAGGAAUUCU
rnacentral:lncRNA from 1 species